CGGGAGGGCUCCAUCGUGCUGUGUAGCGGACCCCUUCGUGAAAUAAUCUUUUUUGUAUGUGUGUGUGUGAUUUGCAGCCUUAUUAGCGUUGCACUUUUCGUCCUCUUCUGCGCCACGUUUUUCAAGGCGGGUAAACAAAAAAGUAAGACAACUGGGCCCACUCUACGCCAUCACUAUUCAUGCUUCUCCUGAAUGCUAUCAGGAUGCACCAACAGUUGAAGGAAGAGGUGCUACAACGCGGACGUUGCUGCACCGUUUCCAGCAGUUCAGAGUCUAAAUUGGAUUCCAUGCCCUUUCAGCAGCAAAAAUCUUAUUUUGGUCUUACGUUGCCCAUUGACCUCAGUUGUGGCGUAAGUUGCGAACGACAGGAACACGUUGGUCUAGCAAAUCUACAUCCACACACGCACACACACACACACAAGCAUCCAGUGGUGGGGCGACCAGAACGGUUGCCAUUUUAAGUAAUCUCUGUGCUAGUUAGGGCAUCGCUUCUGUAGUUAUCGCACCACAGUUACUCAAGGUAGAGGCUCAGGUAGCUCGUGGCGUGCAUGGAUGGACGGCUGCAAACAACGAGUCUCUAUAUCUGGCAGACACCAGGCGUCAUUCAUGCGGAUGCGCGCUCGCAAUUAAUGGGUGUAGUGCACGUCUUGAUGAUUCCUGCUCGCAUCAGACCAGUUGUAAGCCGACUCUGCGUUUCUGAAGAUGUGAGCUUCUACUCGUGGUUGAGUCCCCUGACGACGACCACUCUCCCGGCGGCCUCCUUGUUAGUUUGUGUUUGAAUUCUUGAAAAGAGAAAGAAUUUUCAGGAUAAUGAUACGUAGUUGGGGACUUCAGUUUUGUGACGCGGAGGGCAAAAGCUGAGAUGUUGUCUUCGAAAACGGAACGACCGGAUGUGAAGGAGUUAUAUGAAUUACAUGAAGGAUAGUGGCGACUAGAUGCAUGAGACGCUAUGGCCCGGGCUGACCACAUCACUGGAAUUCUUAACGGUCGAAUGAAGGCGCCCAGUUGGGUGUCCAACUACCCGGGCACAUCGGGUGCAUGUGAGUGGCGUUUUGUCCGCGUAACUGGCUGACUUAUUUCCCAUGCCAUCUGGUGGUGCCAUUAGGGAAUUCCCUGACACCAGCAAAGGAAGGUGACGGCAGCCGGAGGUGAUUGACGAUUGCAAACAAGGAUCGAAAUUAGCAUUGACAGUCUUCUCAAGUUCGGUUGCUUAUCGAAGCAGCGGCAUUCGAAUUGGGCCUGUCCGAACAAGACCCCGCGCCACCGACCUGCGGUUCCGUUCCUGAGAGACAACGAAGUGAUUUCGGUGAAGGCCUCUGCGAUUAUUCGCGGAUCCCGCCUAUUGCAGACCCAGAUGAUAUCGAACUGUUGUUCGGCUGCAUUUUGCGACAAAAGAUUGAGGAAUGGAUGCGAACCGCGUAUGCAGACGUUCCUUCGGUUGAUUGUUCUUUUUCCGUCUCACUCAUCGAGCAUUCAUGACUUGGCUCAGCCUUCACUGUAAUGCUGCACGCCCCGUGCGAGUUCUGUCCUGCAGGAACAUGGAGGUGCACCCGGAGCAGGGAAAAUAACAGCGCUCGCUACCAAAGAAAAUCGGCCAGAGACAAUCUGGAAAACGAAAGUGCUUUCUCAGUGGCUUCGCGUCCACGAGCGGUGCUGACUCCUGCGCGAUGGGCAGUGUCCUGUUCCCAUUAGCUUUGGUCUACUCCUGCCCAUAAUAGCAACAGUUGCGCGCCGCCUCAGCAUUUGCUAUCGAUCGAGACGAUACCGAGCGCUGAUGUUGGAAGCAGGAGACUGACAUGCGAGCGGCACGUGCGCUAGGUUUAGAACGUCGUGAGACAGUUCGGUUCGUAUCCGAUAUAAACGUGGCUACUGGCCUAGCAAUGGUUGCCAUCGCUAUAACGGUUUACCUGAUUACCGUAAGCGCCGAAUGUGGACAGAAUGGGCCUCUUUGACUCCUAUUGCCUGAAAGUCUAUUUCCAAAAAGACGGCUCCUGUCAUCAAAAUCCCCGUCUGCCAGAUAUGGAACACAGUGGCGGUCGCCAGAGUGAUAGUCUGUUGCUGCUGCAGUUUCACUGGUCAAAAAAGCUUUCAACGUGAGAGCAAUGCGUACAGGGAGAAGAUUCGCUGAGAGGGUCAUGGCAUUUGAGUGACACGUCAUCAUGCCAUACCAGCUACUUUUUCGACCACUUCGCGCCAUGGAUCUGCAACUACCGUUCCUCUUGUGCUUCUAUGAACUCUACCAGAGCCUUGUGCACAGACCAUCAUCGACUGUAUCUGACUGUCUCCACGACUCCAUCCCAACCCUUGUAACGGUGUGACAGCACUUCGCAUUUUUGCAAAGUCUUACCUUUCAUUAUCUUCUAAAAUACCACUUGGAUGUCUAGGUGUAUCAACAGAGAAAGACAUGUGUGGCGAUAGAGCAACAAGAAACUGUAAUUCCGGUGGUACAGUCCCUUCGAGUGAGUCUUGUUGUCUUCGCGGGUAGCCGCCUGUUGAGGGCGACAGAAGAGGGAGAUGCAGACAGUAUGCACCCGUCGCUCGCCAGCGUGCUGAAGGUGAAGUCCAUCUCCCCAAUCUGAUGCAAGACAUCUACUCGCGGUAACUCCAUGCACUACAGAGUGCCGAAGAGAUUCCAGCUCAGCGAGAACGCCAGGGUGAUAUGAAGCGUUCUCCUGCGAACGUCCGACAACGCCCACAGUGGGCUGCAUUUUUGGCAAAAGCACAUGCACAUUAGGCCAACAUGGGCAUUCGGAUUAGCCCUCGUUUUGCCAGACAGCGUUGGUUAGCAUAGACCCUACAAAGCAAGAACCUGGAUAGAGCUUCAGAGAGAGAUGAGUGGCAAUAACGUGGGGCCAGAUAUUUCCUGCGGAGUGGGUGAAGACUAGGACUCAUGUGAGUCUUUGUAUGUAAAUAAUUCACAGCCUCAGUGGGGGACAGAAUUUGACUGCGGCGGUGGACAGCAACAGACCAUGAGAACCAAUUGUACUGUAUCCUGUGUCCUGCGUGGAGGCACAUCCACGUUUGGGCGAGGCACGAACGAGUGCUCUCUAGGGGGGAUAUACGUUCGCGUGGUAGCGGGAGAGGGGGAGCUUCGCGGUUCAUUUUGUAGAUUAUGGACGGCUUCGUUGCGCGACGCGAUUCAAUUGUGGUUGGCGACAGCCGCAGGAAGUGAGGACCAUGUGUGUUUUGUUUCAGUACGUCGCGUGCGGGGGGGAAGCCAUGUGUUAGGAGCAGACUCGGGACGCGACUGUGACAGUGCGUCGGUGAGCGAGGAGUGGAACGUGUAAUGGGGGGAAGGAUAUCACUGGUGGUAGUGCGUGAGGGCGGGGAAUGGUGUGAUGGUUCGUGUGUGAAUGAUGGUCAGCCUCAUUGAUGAACGGAACCGGAUUGCGGUGGUGGACAGCAACAGAUGGUGAGAACCAUUUGUUUUGGUUCAUGUAUCCUGUGUGGAGGCACAUACGCGUUUGGGCGAGGCACAAACGAGUGUUGUCUAGGGGGGAUAUACGUUCGCGUGGUAGCAGGAGAGGGGGAGCUUCGCGGUUCAUUUUGUAGAUUAUGGACGGCUUCGUUGCGCGACGCGAUUCAAUUGUGGUUGGCGACAGCCGCAGGAAGUGAGGACCAUGUGUGUUUUGUUUCAGUACGUCGCGUGCGGGGGGGAAGCCAUGUGUUUGGAGCAGACUCGGGACGCGACUGUGACAGUGCGUCGGUGAGCGAGGAGUGGAACGUGUAAUGGGGGGAAGGAUAUUACUGGUGGUAGUGCGUGAGGGCGGGGAAUGGUGUGAUGGUUCGUGUGUGAAUGAUGGUCAGCCUCAGUGAUGAACGGAACUGGAUUGCGGUGGUGGACAGCAACAGAUGGUGAGAACCGUUUGUUUUGGUUCAUGUGUCCUGUGUGGAGGCACAUACGCGUUUGGGCGAGGCACAAACGAGUGCUCUCUAGGGGGAUAUACUGUCGCGUGAUAGCGGGAGAGGGGAAAGGCUUGCGGUGCAUUUUGUAAAUCAUCCACAGCUUCACUGCGUGACACGAUUCAAUCGUGGUUGUCGACAGCCGCAGGAGGUGAGGACCAUGUGUGCUUUGUUUCUGUAUUUCGCGUGCGGGCGGGAAGCCAUAGGUUGGAGCAGAGCCAGGACGCGGUUGUGACAGAGCAUCGGUGAGCGAGGAGUCGAAGCGUAGCGCGGAUGACGAUAUUGCUGGUCGUAGUGCGUGAGGGCGGGGAAUGGUGUGGUGGUUCGUGUGUGAAUGAUUGACGGCCUCAGUGUGAGACAGUAGUUAGCUGCGGUGAUGGACAGCAACAGACGGUGAGAACCAUUCAUUUCUUCCAUGUGCCCUGCGUGGAGGAAGCGAUGUACUGGAACGAUAUAUGUAAGAGUAGGUCGGCCAAUCGUCGACGGGAUCGGAUUGGGAGGAUACGAUGGUACGACGUGUGCGGUAUGCGUUCGGGAAGGAGUACUCUAGACGUCUUUGAUAUGGAAGCCGCCAUAUGCAUCACGGCUUGUUGAGAGGGACACAGUAUUUGCCGUGUGUACGGCACAUUGACAGUCUGGUACAUCUUGUACAUAUACCACCUAACCUAGAGGAGUGUCUCAUAUAUCGAACGAACCGCCGUUUCUCCCAUAUCCUGGCGUUUCAGAGGCGCGCGUACCUGGCAGGUGCUGCGACGCUGCUUGAGACGGCGGGGAGUCGAGCGUUUGAAAGAAAAAACGUGGUUGUUCGCUGACGUCGCGCCUUCUCGCAAAAAAGGCACAUCCACGCUCUCUCGACUGACUGUUCCCGCAGGGAGAACAAACAAGGCAAUCACUAUUUUCAUGUUUUCUGAGUGUCUGGAGAUUUGAAUCUUCACAUAUCGGGGUAAACCUAGUCCAUCCGACGCCGAUAGACUGAUCCUCUGAGUUGGAUAAUGGCGAGUUCCUUUCACGGGGUAUGGUUUGUUGGUGCCAGAAUGGCCGGCGCUCAUUGUCAAGCCAGAAACGUGGAUCGUGUAGGGGGAACGGUAGAGUAUGUUCAUUAUACACACUAGAAAGGCCAGGAUGGCGCACUGUGGGGCAUCGAUUCUCAGCAUGUACGUAGCGGGACAACGGUACUAGGAAAGUAGUUGUUCCGAUGGAAGAUUGAUGCGUUCGUAAUUUGAGGUGCAUAACUGUCCUGGCAAACCGUCAAGGAAUGUAACCAUCACGAGAGGUGUCGUCCUCGCGGGCCACCGCUUCGGUGCGUAUUUUAUGUGUACAUGACUCCCUGUGGCUCGCAGUAGGGGUCCGAAGAACGUCUCAUUCCGACAAGAGUGUGAGAGUCAGAGAGUAGAGCGGAACUGUAUCUAUCCGAAGGGUGUUUUGUCGUGCACGAGUAGCACUACUAAGCGUGUGGAGGGGGACUCCGGAAGCCAGACGUACCUAAGCUAGGUCUUAACCUGAGCAGACACGGCGGUCUCCUGUGAUAUGCUACCAAGAAAUGUCACAUGGAAAGUGUAGACCGGCGGUGGCGCCAGGGGACGCUUUAAUUUGAAUUGCAAGUUUUAUGCUGGUUGCCCAAACACGAACUCUAG
rnacentral:lncRNA from 1 species